CCUACGGGAGGCUGCAGUGGGGAAUAUUGGACAAUGGGGGGAACCCUGAUCCAGCCAUGCCGCGUGUGUGAAGAAGGCCCUCGGGUUGUAAAGCACUUUCAGUGAGGAAGAACGCCUGGUGGUUAAUACCCAUCAGGAAAGACAUCACUCACAGAAGAAGCACCGGCUAACUCCGUGCCAGCAGCCGCGGUAAUACGGAGGGUGCGAGCGUUAAUCGGAAUUACUGGGCGUAAAGCGCGCGUAGGUGGCUUGAUAAGCCGGUUGUGAAAGCCCCGGGCUCAACCUGGGAACGGCAUCCGGAACUGUCAAGCUAGAGUGCAGGAGAGGAAGGUGGAAUUCCCGGUGUAGCGGUGAAAUGCGUAGAGAUCGGGAGGAAUACCAGUGGCGAAGGCGGCCUUCUGGACUGACACUGACACUGAGGUGCGAAAGCGUGGGUAGCAAACAGGAUUAGAUACCCGAGUAGUC
rnacentral:rRNA from 1 species